rnacentral:rRNA from 1 species
GACGAACGCUGGCGGCGUGCUUAACACAUGCAAGUCGAACGGAAAGGCCCUGCUUUUGUGGGGUGCUCGAGUGGCGAACGGGUGAGUAACACGUGAGUAACCUGCCCUUGACUUUGGGAUAACUUCAGGAAACAGGGGCUAAUACCGGGUAGGAGCUCCUGCUGCAUGGUGGGGGUUGGAAAGUUUCGGCGGUUGGGGAUGGUCUCGCGGCUUAUCAGCUUGUUGGUGGGGUAGUGGAUUACCAAGGCUUUGACGGGUAGCCGGCCUGAGAGGGUGACCGGCCACAUUGGGACUGAGAUACGGCCCAGACUCCUACGGGAGGCAGCAGUGGGGAAUAUUGCACAAUGGGCGGAAGCCUGAUGCAGCAACGCCGCGUGCGGGAUGACGGCCUUCGGGUUGUAAACCGCUUUCUCCUGUGCCGAAGCGUGAGUGACGGUAAUGGGUAAAGAAGCACCGGCUAACUACGUG